GCCGGGGUGGUGGAAUUGGUAGACACACUAGCUUGAGGGGCUAGCGGACGCAAGUCUGUGCGAGUUCAAAUCUCGCCUCCGGCACCA
rnacentral:tRNA from 1 species